GGCAAGGAGACAAACCCUAACUUCACAAAUUCUCAAAAAUCAGAAGGAAAUUAGGAGUUCUAAUGGAUGCAUGAACCCUAAAUCAAAUAAUCUAAGCUUGUUCAACUCUUGGUGAUAAGGAAGAGGGCUCGAGUCAAGUGAAGCAACAAGGGAACCAAGAUCGAGGUAAAUCUCAUGUUUAGUUUUCAUGCUUCGCCCGGAAUAAACACACUUCAAGACCGCUCUACGCUCCGCUACUUUUGUAAUGAAGGCAACGCUCAAUAUUUUGGUCACUUUGUUUAAGUCUAGUAGUUAUAAACUUAGUACUUGUAUGUAUUUUGAACUUAUCAAAUUUCGUAUGCGUGUCAAGUCGUUUGAUGGUAUAUAAUAUGUCCUUAUUUUAAA